rnacentral:rRNA from 1 species
UACGUAGGCAGCGAGCGUUGUUCGGAGUUACUGGGCGUAAAGCGUGCGUAGGCGGCGGCCCAAGUCUGGUGUGAAAUCUCCCGCUUAACCGGGAGGGUGCGCCGGAAACUGGGUUGCUGGAGUACCGGAGAGGCAGGCGGAAUUCCUGGUGUAGCGGUGAAAUGCGUAGAUAUCAGGAGGAACACCCGUGGUGUAGACGGCCUGCUGGACGGUCACUGACGCUGAGGCACGAAAGCGUGGGGAGCAAACAGG